AAUAUUAUUCUAUUACAGCUUUAUUAAGGCAUUUAUUAUGCUUUAUUUUGAUUUUACAAGUUCACAAUUCACAAGUUCUUAAGAGCAAGGACUUGUUAUUUCAUCCUAGUAUCUACACCUAUUGUAAUUUUGUCACACAAUAGACACGAAUUAAAUUUUGUUGAUUGCAGACCAUGAAUGCAUGAGUGCAAUUGUAAACUAGUGUUACUGUCAGUAAAAAGCCUGAGUUCUAAUUGUA
rnacentral:lncRNA from 1 species